rnacentral:snoRNA from 1 species
GCGACGUGAUUACAAACCGGACUUCUGAAGGUCAACCGACCGCAGAGUCGAUGUGGACCCUUGUCCCCCGUGGCUGAGUG